AAUCUUUAACAUCAAGAUUAUACCCAACAAUCACCCCCUAAUCUUGAUGCUCAUGACCUUACUUUUCAUGCUAUAAUCUUGCUGUCUCAUGCCUAUUGCUUCUUGCAUUUUGUUUCAUGUUUGCUACUUGCUACAAACCCACUUUUUACUUGUUAUUACCUGCUACUUGCUACAAACUUCUUAUGGUUUGCUACUUGCUACAAACCUAUUGCUUUCUAUCUUCCUUUUCCCGUGAUCAACAAAGCAUGAUCAACCUUGCUACUUGUUUCUCUUUUCUUGCUACUUCUUUCUUUUCUUCGUUCUUCUUGCUUUCUUGCUUACUAAAUCUUGCUAACAUACAACAACUUUCUGUUGUUGCAUCUUUCUUGUGAUCACCAACACGUGAUCAAACUUGCUACUUGCGUUUGCUUCUUUUGUUUUCUUUCAUCUGAUAACCAAACAUGAUCAGCUUUCCUACUUGCUUUCAUUCUUUCUUUUGAUCACCAAAUGUGAUCUGCCUUGCUGAUUUCUAUCUUCCUCUUGAUCUGAUUACAUAAGGUUGCAAUCAGUCAUCUCUUUCUUGCUUUGAACCAGGUUUGAGCCUGGUGCUCUGAUUACCAAAUGUUGGUAAUCAGUCUUCCUUUAACCCACCUGCAAACGACUCUAGAACAUACACCCUAAUAACGACUCUCAUAUAUUGCUCACUAUUAUUACUUUCAGAAGAAAAACUGAUUACACUUUAAAACAAAUGACAACCUAAUCUAUCUAUAAACUAUUGUCCCUGUAAAAUAGGUACAUAUCCUACCAGAAACGUGGGUAUACAAAACUGAAUAAUCUCCAUAAUUCCCAUGCAUAUCGGUCAAAGCAAUGACCCAUUCCUACUUAUUCAACACAAUCUUCAACAUCAAGAUUAUACCCAACAAUCACCCCCUAAUCUUGAUGCUCAUGACCUUACUUUUCAUGCUAUAAUCUUGCUGUCUCAUGCCUAUUGCUUCUUGCAUUUUGUUUCAUGUUUGCUACUUGCUACAAACCCACUUUCUACUUGUUAUUACCUGCUACUUGCUACAAACUUCUUAUGGUUUGCUACUUGCUACAAACCUAUUGCUUUCUAUCUUCCUUUUCCCGUGAUCAACAAAGCAUGAUCAACCUUGCUACUUGUUUCUCUUUUCUUGCUACUUCUUUCUUUUCUUCGUUCUUCUUGCUUUCUUGCUUACUAAAUCUUGCUAACAUACAACAACUUUCUGUUGUUGCAUCUUUCUUGUGAUCACCAACACGUGAUCAAACUUGCUGCUUGCGUUUGCUUCUUUUGUUUUCUUUCAUCUGAUAACCAAACAUGAUCAGCUUUCCUACUUGCUUUCAUUCUUUCUUUUGAUCACCAAAUGUGAUCUGCCUUGCUGAUUUCUAUCUUCCUCUUGAUCUGAUUACAUAAGGUUCCAAUCAGUCAUCUCUUUCUUGCUUUGAACCAGGUUUGAGCCUGGUGCUCUGAUUACCAAAUGUUGGUAAUCAGUCUUCCUUUAACCCACCUGCAAACGACUCUAGAACAUACACCCUAAUAACGACUCUCAUAUAUUGCUCACUAUUAUUACUUUCAGAAGAAAAACUGAUUACACUUUAAAACAAAUGACAACCUAAUCUAUCUAUAAACUAUUGUCCCUGUAAAAUAGGUACAUAUCCUACCAGAAACGUGGGUAUACAAAACUGAAUAAUCUCUAUAACUCCCAUGCAUAUUGGUCAACGCAAUGACCCAUUCCUGCUUAUUCAACACAAUCUUCAACAUCAAGAUUAUACCCAACAAUCAC
rnacentral:lncRNA from 1 species